rnacentral:tRNA from 1 species
GGCGGCGUCCAGGUAGGCAUUGCCCCGGUGCCCGGCGUCGGCGUACGGCUGGUGCAGGCAGGCCGUGUGCGAGCCGAGGGCGCCGUCG